CGAGCGGGGAAGAGUAGCUUGCUACUUUACCUAGCGGCGGACGGGUGAGUAAUGCUUAGGAAUCUGCCUAUUAGUGGGGGACAACAUCUCGAAAGGGAUGCUAAUACCGCAUACGUCCUACGGGAGAAAGCAGGGGACCUUCGGGCCUUGCGCUAAUAGAUGAGCCUAAGUCGGAUUAGCUAGUUGGUGGGGUAAAGGCCUACCAAGGCGACGAUCUGUAGCGGGUCUGAGAGGAUGAUCCGCCACACUGGGACUGAGACACGGCCCAGACUCCUACGGGAGGCAGCAGUGGGGAAUAUUGGACAAUGGGGGGAACCCUGAUCCAGCCAUGCCGCGUGUGUGAAGAAGGCCUUUUGGUUGUAAAGCACUUUAAGCGAGGAGGAGGCUACCGAGAUUAAUACUCUUGGAUAGUGGACGUUACUCGCAGAAUAAGCACCGGCUAACUCUGUGCCAGCAGCCGCGGUAAUACAGAGGGUGCAAGCGUUAAUCGGAUUUACUGGGCGUAAAGCGCGCGUAGGUGGCCAAUUAAGUCAAAUGUGAAAUCCCCGAGCUUAACUUGGGAAUUGCAUUCGAUACUGGUUGGCUAGAGUAUGGGAGAGGAUGGUAGAAUUCCAGGUGUAGCGGUGAAAUGCGUAGAGAUCUGGAGGAAUACCGAUGGCGAAGGCAGCCAUCUGGCC
rnacentral:rRNA from 1 species